GUCCUUUUGAAUUUAAUUGAAGGUCUGACCUGCCCAGUGAUGAAUUUAACGGCCGCGGUAUACUGACCGUGCAAAGGUAGCAUAAUCAUUAGUCUUUUAAUAGAGGGCUGGAAUGAAUGGUUUAACGAGGAACUGACUGUCUCACUUUAUUUGUUUUAAAAUUUAAUUUUUUAGUCAAAAAGCUAAAAUUUUAUUGGAAGACGAGAAGACCCUAUAGAUCUUUAUAUAAUUUUUUAUAAUUAUUUUUAUAUUAAUGUGAUUAUAUUAAUUUGUAUUUUGUUGGGGUGACAAAAAUAUAUAAUUAACUUUUUUAUUUAUUUACCAUUGAUAUAUGAAUAUUAGAUCCAUUACUAGUGAUUGUUAGAUUAAGUUACCUUAGGGAUAACAGCGUAAUCCUCCUCCAGAGUUCAUAUUUACAGGAAGGGCUUGCGACCUCGAUGUUGGAUUAAGAUAAUAGUUAGGUGUAGCCGCUUAAUUUAUAGGUCUGUUCGACCUUUAAAAUCUU
rnacentral:rRNA from 1 species